UUCCCCAUGGAACAGAGGACAGGAUUUGGUUCUUUUCAAUUUGGAGUUGUUGAGCUUCUCUGUGUACCAAGUAGGUGCCACGCAGUAUUGGGUUCUUUUGCAUAUAUUUUAAUGCAUUAUUGUACUUAGUGCUUCUAGCAGUUCUACAAUUAGUUCCUGGUUUUAUUUUAUUGAUAAUUAAGUUGACAGAGAGGCAAAGGUAUUUAUUCAAGGCCACAUGGCUGGCAAGAAUCAGAGCCAGCAAGCUGUAGCAAAAGCUGAUGCUAGAGUAAUCACAGGUGAACAUGCUCUUAGCUGACCCAGAUUGGGAGGCUCUUCCCAUUGUGACGUCAGUCAUGUAGUCCAAUUCUGCUAUGCUCAGAAUGUGUGUCCCCCACCCACAUAUUCAUACAUUGGAGUCCUAACCCCCAAGAAGAUGGUGCUAAAAGAUGGGGGUUGAUUAGGUCAUGGAUGGUAGGGCCCCCAUGAAUAGAAUUUGAUUCCUUCUAAAAGUGACCCAUUUUCUUCCCCCACGUAAAGACGCAGUGAGAAGGUAAUAGCUAUAAUCCAGGAAGUAGGCCUUCACCAGAUACUGAAUCAGCCUUCAUCUUGGACCUUCCCACCUCUAAAACGUAAGAAGCCAGCUUGGGAAACUGAGGUGAUUCUCAAAAUCUGAAGGAAGAAGUAUCUGUCCCAGCCAGCCCUGAGAACUACCAUCAACCCCCUCCUGAAGAGAAGGAAUAGACUAAUAAAAUGUAGAUGAAACCCAUCAUAUUGAAAAAUGCUUUUCAUCACCUGGAACACAGCAGCACAACAGACUAAAAAGUGCACGGCUGUGGGAGCCAGCCUGAAGGAGCUUCAAUUCCGGCUCCCAUCACACUAAACCUGGGAAACAGAUUAAAGAUGAUGAACAGAAGCUUACAGAGAACUCACUUGUCCAAGGACAUCAGCAGCAGAGACCGCCUGAAGUUGAUAAACCAGAAGCCUAGUGAAAGACCCUGUAGAUAAGAAGCAGAUAUUAGCCUUCCUUCAAUCAUAAAGGAAGUGCAAGAUUCAGAUAAGAAGGGCAGAUCGUCGUAAAACCAUCCUUGAAGGAAGAAUGUGUGACAAAAUGUACGUCUUUUAUAAGCAGCAACUCGAAAUGAAUGUGUCUUCUUUCCUAAUAAAGAAAGGCUUUUGUAGAA